rnacentral:rRNA from 1 species
CAGCCGCCACGGUAAAACGUAGGGUGCGAGCGUUAAUCGGAAUUACUGGGCGUAAAGCGUGCGCAGGCGGUUCGUUAAGACAGAUGUGAAAUCCCCGGGCUUAACCUGGGAACUGCAUUUGUGACUGACGGGCUAGAGUAUGGCAGAGGGGGGUGGAAUUCCGCGUGUAGCAGUGAAAUGCGUAGAUAUGCGGAGGAACACCGAUGGCGAAGGCAGCCCCCUGGGCCAAUACUGACGCUCAUGCACGAAAGCGUGGGGAGCAAACAGGAUUAGAUACCCCCGUAGUCCCUGUCUCUUAUAC